rnacentral:rRNA from 1 species
CCUACGGGAGGCAGCAGUGAGGAAUAUUGGUCAAUGGGCGCGAGCCUGAACCAGCCAAGUAGCGUGAAGGAUGACUGCCCUACGGGUUGUAAACUUCUUUUAUAAAGGAAUAAAGUGAGGCACGUGUGCCUUUUUGUAUGUACUUUAUGAAUAAGGAUCGGCUAACUCCGUGCCAGCAGCCGCGGUAAUACGGAGGAUCCGAGCGUUAUCCGGAUUUAUUGGGUUUAAAGGGAGCGUAGAUGGGUUGUUAAGUCAGUUGUGAAAGGUUGCGGCUCAACCGUAAAAUUGCAAUUGAUACUGGGAGGCUUGAGUACAGGUGAGGUAGGCGGAAUUCGUGGUGUAGCGGUGAAAUGCUUAGAUAUCACGAAGAACUCCGAUGGCGAAGGCAGCUUACUAAACUGCCACUGACAUUGAUGCUCGAAAGUGUGGGGAUCAAACAGGAUUAGAUACCCGAGUAGUC